GGAAAUGUGCCUGAAUAAAGGACCACUUUGAUAGAGUGGGUCAUGAGAGUUAAACCCCCUCCAUUUCCU
rnacentral:tRNA from 1 species